rnacentral:rRNA from 1 species
CUCCUACGGGAGGCAGCAGUCGAGGAUCUUCGGCAAUGGGCGCAAGCCUGACCGAGCGACGCCGCGUGUGCGGUGAAGGCCUUCGGGUUGUUAAGCACUGUCGAGGGGGAGGAAAGCCCGCAAGGGCCUGACCUWUYCCYKGRRGRARSMMSGGSYUAAGUUCGUGCCAGCAGCCGCGGUAAGACGAACCGUGCGAACGUUGUUCGGAUUCACUGGGCUUAAAGGGCGCGUAGGCGGGCGGCAACGUCGGGGGUGAAAUCUCACGGCCCAACCGUGAAACAGCCUCCGAUACGGGCCGCCUCGAGGGAGGUAGGGGCACGCGGAACUUCCGGUGGAGCGGUGAAAUGCGUAGAUAUCGGAAGGAACGCCGGUGGCGAAAGCGGCGUGCUGGGCCUUCUCUGACGCUGAGGCGCGAAAGCCAGGGGAGCGAACGGGAUUAGAUACCCCGGUAGUCCUGGCCCUAAACGAUGGGUACCAGGCUGUGGGCCAGCAUGGGCUCCCAGCCGAGGCUAAAGUGUUAAGUACCCCGCCUGGGGAGUAUGGUCGCAAGGCUGAAACUUAAAUGAAUUGACGGA